GUAGACUACAAAGCCAGCUGUUCUGACUCACAGACUAGUGGCUGGUCAUCCAUUGGCCCAAAAUGAGCGCUGCCUGCACAUGUUUCUACAGGAUGAGUCAGUGGAUAAAAACUACACCCCGUCCAAAAUUAGACAAGCCUGAACCGGUCUGGACUCUAUACACACACACACACACACACACACACACACAAAAACAUGGCCCACAAUCAAUAAGAAAGGUUUGAAUCAUUCUUAACAGCAACAGAGGCUUAGCAUGAACUAUAGGGUGUCCAAAACAUUUACAAAAUAAUUGAAAAUGUUCUCUAGCGUUAGUUGUGUCCCUUCACCUCUCCAA